CCUACGGUGUGCUGCAGUGGGGAAUAUUGCACAAUGGGGGAAACCCUGAUGCAGCGACGCCGCGUGAGUGAAGAAGUAUUUCGGUACGUAAAGCUCUAUCAGCAGGGAAGAAAAUGACGGUACCUGACUAAGAAGCCCCGGCUAACUACGUGCCAGCAGCCGCGGUAAUACGUAGGGGGCAAGCGUUAUCCGGAUUUACUGGGUGUAAAGGGAGCGUAGACGGCAGCGCAAGUCUGGAGUGAAAUCCCAUGGCUUAACCAUGGAACUGCUUUGGAAACUGUGCAGCUAGAGUGCAGGAGAGGUAAGCGGAAUUCCUAGUGUAGCGGUGAAAUGCGUAGAUAUUAGGAGGAACACCAGUGGCGAAGGCAGCUCACUGGACUGCAACUGACACUGAGGCUCGAAAGUGUGGGUAUCAAACAGGAUUAGAUACCCGAGUAGUC
rnacentral:rRNA from 1 species